ensembl:lncRNA
AUAUAUAAACCCAGUCUCACGGAAAUACGUGACAAUGUCAUGUCAUUUAAUCUAUUCAUUCGUGAUUUGGGACAUGUAAUUUCAAUUUAUUUUUUUUACUUUCACCUUUUGAUUCUGAGAAAUUGUGACAAUUCACGGAUAUGUUUAAUGCAGGUGCACUACACUGUAGGCAAACCGCGACGGAAAAAAAGGUAGCUGCCUCAUCUCUUCUUUUUAGAAUGAGUUUGAUAUUUGUGCUUUUGGCACGAUUUUUUAUUAAUUACGUGACGCAGAUCACAAAUGAAUAGAUUAACUGACUUGACGUGACAGUGUCACGUAUUUCCGUGAGACUGGGUUUAUAUAGCAUCAUUAUCUUCAUUAUCUUAAUGUCUCAUUAAUUAUGGUGGUUGUUCAAUUCCAUGAAAUGAUUGAUUGCAGCUAUUUAUUUAUAUGUUUGUGUAUGCCUUUUUAUCUUAUGUCUAUGGGCUAGUCUGCUUACCCAUUAUAUUGAAGUUGAAGGAUGCCACAGCUGUCUCAGUGCAUAAGGUAUUGUUGUCUUUGUGCACCCACUGUGAUAUAUGUGUUCCAUUAGAUGUGCAGUUCACAUAAAUGAACCCUAUGAGAGACAAUGGUGACCGGUCACGUGAUGAAUCAACUGCUACUGAAUCCAAGCUCCACUCAUUCAUUUCCCUCGUUGUGUUUGUCACUCACCCUCACACACAGACAAGGUGAUGUUAGCCGCGGCGUGGCUCACGUUGUUGCUGACCGAGCAGGUGACCAGUCCCGCCCAGCCCACCUCCAGAGUGACGUCACUAGCGCUACUGGGUCCGGAGAGGAGACGCGUGUCGUUCAGCGGGAGUCCGUCUCGACUCCAGCUGUAGUGGAGUCCGUCCCCCCCGGCAGAGCAGGACACCCUCUGCUGUCCCCGGGACAAACACUCCCGGGAAAGGUUGAGAGAGGAGACCGGGGCUAAGGGAAACCGACCGAGGAGGUGAGUCUCACCGUUUGACUGAACGGAAACC